rnacentral:lncRNA from 1 species
GAAUCAGAGCUGCAUUUGCAACCUAUGUCACAGCUUGUGUCCCUGCCAGAUCCUUAACCCACUGAGUGAGGCCAGGGAUCAAACCCAUGUCCUCAUGGAGACUGUGUUGGGUUCUUAACCUGGUGAGCCACAAUGGGAACUCCAGAAGUGGUUUGUUCCUAUACCUCCAAGUUAUCUCCAGUAAAUACCUCUGUGAAUAUUUCCUCAAUAAAACUAAGGAAGGGGUUACAUUCUGUGGCUUUUCUCUUGUCAUGCGGGAGCCGAGUGUGAAGUUGGAAGAACUGUACCACCCGAGGCUGAAGGAGACCUCUCUGGUGUGCCUCUACCAUUUGGUUACUGGGACCUUGGCUCAUUUUGAGGUUCUGUGAACUUCAGUCCACGCAUUACUUGGGUCAGAGAGACAAAGGUAGGCAAAUGUACUUUGCUCUGACUCAUUCUUCUUUGAAAGCCAAUAGUGAUUUCCACGCUGUGUUCUCUGGUGUCCAAGGCUUAAGAGGAAGGUGCUCCAGGAGUGGGGGCGUGGGCAGUCCAAGCAGGAAGUUGCAGCCGUUCUGUCUCUGCUCCAAUUAGAGCAGCUUUGCUUUUGACCAUUUUAUGGAUUGGAAUUCUGGGUAUGGUUCUAUUAUUAGAAAGGUUUAAUUUCUUUAAAAAGAUUAAAUGAUCUAAAGACUGCUAUUUCAAAACAUUGCCAGGAGCCCAAAAGAAUCAGCAACGUCGCCUCCCUAACAAAUCACAGACCAUGAAAUCUGGAAGGAACUCGGAAUCAUCCAAAAGCUUUGGACAGAACAUCUUUGGUCUAUGGCUCAAUGUGUCCUCUGGACAGUGUACAAAAUCUCAUCGAAUGGGCCCUGCCCCCUGUAGGCCUUGGGUUCCCCAAAGGAAGCAGGUAGCCCCAUGUCUUGAUCAGAGAUGCUCAGAGUGUUGAAUGAACCAAGGAAAGAAUGAGGGUUAUCCUUUCAAGCAGUGGGUGGGAAAAGCACACUCAGAGUGGUGGAAGGGUUGGUCCAAGAUCACACGGUGAAAACAAAGGAAAUAUUGGGAGAAAACACCAGCACUUUUUACACUGGAUUAUGUCAUACUGAUGCUUAAAGAGCAAUAAAAAUGUCCGAACUCAGCCUCUCAUUCCCAGCCUUUGUUUCGCCUCCAUGGACAUCCUAAUGGCUUAACACAGACACGGUGCCCGCGUUCCAACUCGAGUGGUCAGUGGCCUUGUCUGUCUGCUGUGUCUGUCAGUGUGGGAUGUGAGCCUCUCUCUUUUGUCCUGCAUGACAUAGACUAUGCCUCCCCACUCCCCCUGCCCCACAAGGGCCCGGAAGGCUCAGAGGGAGACCUUCCAGGUGCGGUAAUUCGGGGGUGAUGCUGAGAGAGGCCAGGGAAGCAGACGAAGAAGGACAGGCUGUGCCAGGGCAGGCUGUGCCAGGGCCGGGUUGUUCCAGUUUCUCCUUCCUUCCUGCCUCUCCUUUCUUUGCAUCACCGAUGAUGUUAUUUAUGGAAUGCCAGGAUGUUUCCUUUUUUAAUUAAAAGGAGGAAAAAUCCAGUCUUGUAUGAGAACAAGAGCGAUGACUCAACAGGACUGCUCAGAGCCAAAUGACUUCCUGUAAUCUCCUCUGCAGCAGUGUUUCUUACAGAAGCAGGCCUUUGGGCGCAUGCUGAGGCUGCACCCCAGGAUGCCACCUGUCCAAGGGCUCAUUCCUAACACAUCUCAGAGUGUCUCCAUGCCAAUAGACAUGAACUCUGGCCUGGUGAACCCAAGCUGACCAAGUCUGCCCGAACUAUGAGCAGGGAGAGGGGAAUGAUUCAUUAGAGAGAAUGCAAUUUUUUUGGUUGAAUCUUUUUUAUAGGUAAAAUAAAUAUUAGGCUUUUUUGGCAUUGUAACACAUCAGAGGGUCAUUAUUUUAAAUAAUGUAAAUUACCUUGAAAUUCACCUGUUUUAACUCCAUUUUAUUACAAGUAAGGAAGCUGAGACCUAAAUCAAUUUGGCUAGAACUUACCGACCAUUUACUAUGUGUACUGAGUCUCUCUGGACCAAAUGGCGUUUAAAAGGUCCCACAACUUAUAGGUGAUGAUGGAUAGAAUUAAAAACUAAAUGUCCUCACUCCCAUAUAAGGCUGUCUUCCACCAUUCAGAUCUAGAGGCUGGGUUAUUAUCACAGCUGUUCUGUUGGUUUAGAAAUUCUGGUAUGUAGGGGUGUGUGUGUGUGUGUGUGUGUGUGUGUGUGUAUGUGUGUGUGUGUGUGUGUGCACGCCGCACAGGUUUUAGCUGUGAGAUGUAGCCAGGAAAGGUGUAUCUCCCAAUCCAAACUGUUAACGAUAAACACUGGAGGCAGUUUCUCAGAGUUGGAAAAGCACUCCCUUAAGAUUCGUACAGACCUAGUUAUGAAUCUUGGUCCUUCUGCUUUGAAGUGAUCACGGCUCAGUUUCAUAAUCAUUUUGGGCCUCACUUUCUUCAUAUACAAGUGUAAAAUAGAUUUAUUUUUUACGUUAUAAGAAUAUGUGCAGACUCUAUUAACCGUGUGUUUUCUUACCUGAUGCUUUGUCAUCUUGGGGCUUUGUGGAUCCUGGAGGGACUGCCCCUUCCAGGCUUAGUGAAUUCGUAGUCUCUUUCCUAUGCAAACCAACCAAUCCAGAGCCCAUUUUCCAACCACCUGCUAUAUCAGUCUCUCACAUUCUAGGCCACUGUCUCCUUGCCCUAAUCACUCCAGGGCCAGAGGCUAGACAAGCAAUGACCGCCAGCCCCUAUGUCCCAGAACCUGCUGACAUUGUUCAAAUCCUAAACUUGUUUAUCCUGCCUUUUCUGUUCUUUGUUGCAGAAAUCAUAAUAAAGCCCAUGUUUUAUUCUUGCUCCUUCUGCCUUCUGACCUUGGUCCUUCCCCAUGGCCUAGGCUGCCCUCUCUACCCCUUCUCCUCCAUCUGUAUUUUCUCAGUGGCAAUCAUCUCAUGGCCUAAACAUAUAAUAAAACCUAUAUUUUAUUUUAUUUUUAGCAGAAAUAUUGUUGAUUAUAAUGUUGUGUUAGUUUCAGGUAUUGACAAACUGAUUCAGUUAUAUCUAUCUAUAUAGCUGUCUAUCUAGCCAUUCGCUUUCAGAUUCUUUCCCAUUGUAAGUUUUUAUAAGAUACUGAAUAUAAUUCCCUGCGCUAUACAGUAGGUCCUUGUCACUUACCUAUUUAACAUGUAGUAAUAUGUAUAUGUUAAUCUCAAACUUGCAAUUUCUCCCUCCUUCACCCCUUUUCCCCUUUGGUCAUCAUAAGUUUAUUUUUUUUAUGUCUGAGUCUGUUUCUGCUUUGUAAAUAAGUUCAUUUGUAUCUUUUUUUUUUUAGAUUCCAUGUAAAAAAAUAUGGAAUUGUAACACCAAAUGUAAUGUCUCUGUCUGAUUUUCUUCACUUAGUAUGAUAAUCUCUGUGUCCAUCCAUGAUGUCUCCAAUGGCAUUAUUUCAUUCUUUUUGAUGCCUGCGCAUAUUCCGUUUUCUAUGUCUAAAGCAUCUUUAUCCAUUUAUUUGUUGACAGGCACUUAGAUGGCUUCCACGUCUUGGCCACUGUGUACAGUGCUGUUACGAACACUGAGGUGUAUGUGCCUUUUCAAAUUAGAAUUUCCUUCUUUUCCAGAUAUAAGCCCAGGAGUGGGAUUCCUGGAUCAUAUGGUGCUGAAUCGCAUGGUCGCUCAAUUUUUAGUUUUGAGGGAACUUCCAACAGAGUAAAGUGUUCCCCUUUCUCCACAUCAUCUGCAGUAUUUAUUAUUUGUAGAUUUUGGUAAUGGCCGUUCUGAUUGGUGUUAGAUGGUCCCUUAUGGUAGUUUUUGAUUUUCAUUUCUCUAAUAAUUAGCAAUUUGAGCAUCUUUUCAUGUACUUGUUGGCCAUCUGUACAUCUUCUUUGGAUAAACGUCUAUUUAGGACUUAUGCCAAUUUUCGAUUGGGUUGUUUCUGUGUUUUUGAUAUUGAGCUGUAUGAGCUAUUUGCAUAUUUUGGAAAUUAAGCCCUUGUCGGUCACAUUGUUUGCAAAUAUUUUCUCCCAGUCUGUAGGUUGUCUUUCCAUUUUGUAAAAUUUAUAUUUUAAAACCUACAUUUUAAAGAGUACUUAUCAAACACCUUACACUUAAAGGUUCUCAAUAGGCUCCUUCAUAUAACAGAAGGUAUUCAUGGCUGGCCAUGCGUAGAGUCCCCAGGUGCACAGGUAGGAACGGUACCCAGCUCCCUCUCAAGAGGAACCUAAUUAAGAAUAUGGAAAUAGCAACCUAUCGGAAGUGGGGGUGGAUCAUGAAGAUUUCUCUAUGGUGGGUGGAGAGGCAGGAGGACAGCAGAGACAUUAAAUAACAUUUUUUUUUUUAAUACCUGCACUUGUGGCAUAUGGAGGUUCCUGGGCUAGGGGUUGAAUUGGAGCUAUAGCUGCAGCCUAUGCCACAGCCAUGGCAACUCUGGAUCUGAGCUGCAUCUGCAACCUAUGCUGCAACUUAUGGCAAUGCCAGAUACUUAACCCACUGAGUGAAGCCAGGGACUGAAACCGCAUCCUCACGUAGUCUACGUAAGGUUCUUAACCUGCCACGCCUCAGUGGGAACCCCUAAGUUACACAUUUUUGGGGGGGGGAUUUGAAUGAGAGCUGCAGCUGUCGGCCCACACCACAGCCACACCAACGUGGGAUCUGAGCCGCAUCUGUGACCCACACCACAGCUUACAGGAAGUGCUGGAUCCUUAAUCCACCCAGCAAGGCCAGAGAUCAAACACGCAUCCGCAUUGAUACUGGUUGGGUUCGUAACCCACUGAGCCACAAAGGGAACUCCCUAAAGGACACAUUCUAGUGGAGCAAAACGGGACUCAGUUCCAGAUUUUUCUGCCCCUCAGCCCAGGAUGUGGUUUAGUGGGGCCCACGGCUGCUUCGUGAGAGCCUGACUUUGGAGGUGGAAGGAGGAUUGCCCCUGAAACCGUCCCACUGGCCUCCUGCUACCCUAGGCUUUUUGUUUGUGUGGUACUUAAGACAAAAUAUUCAUUUUUUCCUGGGCCUCUAUUCUACACUCCAUAUUCAUUUAUUUUCAAGAAACAGUUUCAGAUUCCUUACUUUCCCCCCUAAAGCUUACAUAUAAAUUUUUCUGUCUUGCCUUUCUUGCUACAUUUACAUAAAAGCCACACUGAAAAAUUUAUAGCAGUAAUGGAGAUCUGGGAGAAAACAAAAUACUCCAAGAAAAACGCUUCCUUAACCCUUUACUCAGGAGCAGUGCCGGGCUCACGACCGGGCCAUUACGUGGGGAGGAAACCCAGCAGAAAUGACCCAUGUCGCCUGUGAAAGGCUAAUAAUAACGGCAUCAACCUGGGGACCCUCUUAACUUCAUCCACCACCUUCUUUAGAAUAAAAGUGAUUUCUUUUUCUUUUAUUUUUGGCCG